GUGAGAGAGAGUGUUUGAGAGAGAAAUAGAGAAAUACAUACAGAGAGAAAUAGAGAAAAAUAGAGAGAAAGAGAGAGAAAAAGUGAGAGAGAGUGAAUGAGAGAGAGAGAAAUCGAGAAAUAGAGAGAAAGAAAGAGAGAGAGAGAGAGAGAAAUAUAUAUAGAGAGAGAAUAAAUUUGUCUCUGAAACACAAGAGUUGACGUUGAGGUUCAGUGUGAAUGUGAAAUGGGCAUGGGCGUCACCACGUAUUAUUAUUUGGGGUGGUUGUGCCCCCCCCCAAUGUUGAGGCAAUACCAAUCUGUCCCCCCAAUAUACAGUACAAAAUAUUUUUUUAUAUGUCCCCCUUUAAUGAACCCUGCCAAUGGAUCUGUCUUUUCUUCAUCUAUUCUAUUUAUUUAUGUCUAUUCCUUUUUAAUAUAUUUCCGUUUGUUAAGGAAAAUAGGUGUGUGACCCCCCUCCAAUUGUACACUUGGUUGCGCCCAUACUCAAUACAAGUUCGUUGAUAUAUUUGAGCAGCUCAGUCUGUAAGAAUUGGAGACAGCAGUCAAGUGUAGAAAAGUGCAGCAGAACAUACAACUUUUAUUCAGACAGUCAGUAACUAGAUACCUAAAUAGUAGGUGACCUUAGCUUAGUAUAGAAGGUAUCAUACCAUGGCUUGGUUUGUUCUUAAUAACAUCAAUUAACGGUUGAUAUUUGCACACCCACGAAGUAGGCUAGGCUAACGUCAGUUCCAGUUUUUGACCAUUAACGUUACAUUCACUUGCAGAUCCUCCCUCCGAGUUUGUUGGGCUCCCCCCAUGUCCAUACCAUGGUUACGCCCUUGCCAAGAUGAACACUUUACAGUUGGUUAUGUGACUGUAAGUCACUCUCUUCAAAUGCUAUUGAUGUUAGAAACGUGUAUAACAAUGUCGUAUGUAACUUUAGAGACGGUCCCUUAAUUUCUGCAUAUUUGCGAAUAUCGAACAUCCAGCUUCACACCAACUUCAUUCCAGUGACUCAGCAUAAUGCUGAGAUAUGUUAGCUUGGCAACGAGAGAUAUGGAACUAAUGUCUGAGUUGUGGCCAUAUUGUAGUUCUCCAUUCAGAACUAGUUAUGGCAGUUUGUCUUUAGAAUCAAUAAAAGAAAUCUCCAGUACAAUUUACAUAGCUAACUGUAGCCCAGGCUUAUAAAUGAGAAACACUAUUUAGCUGUCUAAGCAAGUCACAAAGGGUUAACUUUGAUUUUCUUGUUAUCUUUGAUGGAUUUGUAAGUAAGCAAAUGGGUGAACUCUAUGAGGCAGUGAACUGACCAAUCAGCUGCCAGCUAGGCUCUGUUACAGUUACACCUCUAGGUUAGUGUCUCUGCACGUUCUUUUGGCGCGUGCACCUGAGCAUAGGAGGCUGCGUUACUCACUUGAGAGUAAAAGAGAGCUGUGCCUGAAUCCACUGUUGUCACGGAGCUAAAGGCAGUGAAUUCUGCUAAAAUGGUCAGGUUUUGGUAAAGAGUUGGAAACAUCGUGCGGAGAUCCUUUCCACAGAAUGAUACAGAUCCCCACGUUCCAGGUGUUCUCCCAGAGAUUAAUAGAUUCCCAGUCCGGGGGGCUGGGUGGCGAGCCAACCGUGUUUGUGACUCUGACUUUAGACGGAUUGCCAGGAUCAUCAUCUUCAUGGUGGUAGGACAUACACUAACACGAACUAAAAAGGGCCCAACGUUGGUGACUGAACUCUUGUCAACAAAGGCAAGUGAAACAGGACGAACUAAGCUCAAGGGAAUUUAAAAGGGGAUUUAUUUACGUGCGCACUUUAUUAUUUUAGUUUGUUAUUUUUUUCAUAACUGUUUUUUGUAUAUGUAUGUACCAGCCCAUGUGUGUUUAAUACAUCUUAUGCAAAUUGUCA